GGGCCCGUGGAGGUAAAGGUUAACCUCGUCUGGAUUGUCACCCGAAGAUGCGGGUUCGAUUCCCGCCGGGUCCA
rnacentral:tRNA from 1 species